GUAGGUGAACCUGCGGAAGGAUCAUUAAAAAAUUAAAUAAACUAAUAGACUGCGUGCGGGAGCAUGUAAAUCUAAUAGACCCCCCCCCCUCCUGCGUACCUUCACCACGUUGCUUUCGCGAGUUUCUUCUCCCCGCACACUUUCCGUUGUUAUACAUACAUACACGGGGGGUUGUGUCGUUGGGAAAAGUUGACCUCGCGAAAGGCCAACUUAAAACCCAAACUAUUUAUUUUUUCCACUUUUUUCAAAA
rnacentral:misc_RNA from 1 species